CCAAGUGCUGUCAACUGACCGAGAAAAUGAAUACAAAAAAAAACAACUUUUCGUUUUUCAUGUUCCCCAUGCACGUCCAAAUCCCGCAUACCAGCAGCAACAAGUUUUCACCGAUUGUGGUCCGACGGACGGAUAUAUUAUCAGGACAAACCGGGAGAAGAGCACCAGCGAUGUUCGUAACAGAAAAAGGAGCUAGAGGAUCAAGGUCUCGCUGGAAGGUGCAAUGUCCCGAACUCUUUUGGAUACAGCAGUGAUCAGCGGCUAAGCCAGCGUCCCGCCCGUUUUUCCGGAAUUAUACUUUCUUGUGGAGGAAAUUUGUUUUUAUACAUCGUAGAAUUGAAACGAAUAAACAAUUCGGUAUCAAAUUUUGAAUACGGCGAAUGCGCCAAGACCUUUGUUUUGAGAAAAACGCAUUCCAAGUUUCAGAAAAUAAAAUCAAUUUCCUAUUUA